rnacentral:siRNA from 1 species
UAGCCAGAUACAAGGGUUAAC